UGGGGAAUAUUGCACAAUGGGCGCAAGCCUGAUGCAGCCAUGCCGCGUGUGUGAAGAAGGCCUUCGGGUUGUAAAGCACUUUCAGCGGGGAGGAAGGCGGUGAGGUUAAUAACCUCACCGAUUGACGUUACCCGCAGAAGAAGCACCGGCUAACUCCGUGUCAGCAGCCGCGGUAAUACGGAGGGUGCAAGCGUUAAUCGGAAUUACUGGGCGUAAAGCGCACGCAGGCGGUCUGUCAAGUCGGAUGUGAAAUCCCCGGGCUCAACCUGGGAACUGCAUUCGAAACUGGCAGGCUAGAGUCUUGUAGAGGGGGGUAGAAUUCCAGGUGUAGCGGUGAAAUGCGUAGAGAUCUGGAGGAAUACCGGUGGCGAAGGCGGCCCCCUGGACAAAGACUGACGCUCAGGUGCGAAAGCGUGGGGAGCAAACAGG
rnacentral:rRNA from 1 species